GAGCGUGUCUCUCUCGGUAGAGAUUUUAUUGUUCAGAGGCUACAGGAACCACCAUUCAGUGCAUCCUGCAGGCAGACUGUCCACUGAGAUCAAGAUGAAACAUUGUAUGCUGAUGUUUGUACUCUCUAUGGAUGCAUCUGCAUAUCAUAUUAACUAUGUAAUUCUAUCUAUAUGUUUGUACUCACUCUACAAGCCUGUGCCUGUUGAGAAAGAUGUUAAAAUCUAUGGAGUUGGACCAAAAAGACAAAGGUCAUCAAACAAGCCAAUUACAACUCGAAAACUAAAAACCCUGGACUAUUUGUUACAGAACAGUGGGAACCACCUAAAUCAUGCAUCACGAGACAAAGCUCAGCUGAUGCCAACCAACCCUCAGUUCUCAGAGCUGACAACACACAUUUAUUAAUAUUCUCUGUUUCUCUUUGUUUCUUUACUCACCUCGAACUCCUGUCUAGCAAUAGGUUUAAAUGUCUAUAUUCUUUGCCUGUCUCUGAAUUCAUUCUGGUUUCACUACACUGUCUUUUUACUCAGGUGAGUAAAGAUCUAGGUGCUACUCCAAGUGAAAAUAUGUAUUCAUACACCGAGCACAGUAUAUUUUUUUUUGUUAUAUCCUAUUCACCUCAAAACUUACUAAUCUGUAGUAAUCUAUGCCAACUCCAUAGUUUUUGUAAAACUUAAACUAGUAAGUCUUUUUCAUACUUUUUUUUUCCCCAUCACACAGUUGAAGUUUGAACUGUUUGGAAAAUGCUAGCCAAAUGUUUAGCACAGCUGUUGAAACAUACCUUUAGCUCAGAGGAGUGAGCUGAGUUAAUAAUUCAGUUAGUUAAUAUCCCUUUGCAUAUCUAAAGUAUUUUUCAAGUCCAUUUUCUCUUUUUGAGUUUCCAUUUUUUUUUUCGUGUUAUUCAUAGUUGUCUGUUCAUCACAUAGGAUAAAGGAAUUAUAAUAUUUCCCUCUGCAAAUGGGAAAUCCACGGUGAUUUUCCACAAGAAAAAUUACACAAUAACUUCAUUUCUUUCUUGGCAACAUGAAUGCCCAAAACGUAAAGAUAACUCAUUCCAACUGAUUAUCAAGCAGAAAUAUAUUCUGCAAAUCUUUAAAUUUCUCCAGAAAAUUUAUGGUCAAAAGCAGGAAAAGUAUUUGAAAGAGAAAUGGGUUUUGAUGAAAUAUCUUUAUUAAGUGGCUAAUAGAAAUAAAAGCUGUUCGUUUUCUUUUUUUUGGUUGACAAAAUCGAAGUAUUUUAUAGAAAAGGUUUUAAAUUAAACUUCGUACACCAUCCUCAGUUAAUGAUAGAAAUAGCCAUAUGUCAGAUACCCCAAGUAACAGUGGGUUGGUUUGAGUCCAGGCAGAAAUUUUGGUAUCUUGCUAGCAUUGUACUUAACUCUUGUCCUAGCCUGUUGUGAGGCUGGAUUUGCUUUUGUCUGUUAUUCUCACUUUUCAGGGCACUAAAAUCAUAUUACUCGAGGUGCUUCAGUAUGACAUGCAUAUUGAGCAAUAGCUCACAAAAUAGCUGCCUGAAAGCAUUCUGGAAGGCCACUGUCAUAGAAACCCCAAUAUUGCGUCUCAACAUUAGUAUGGGAAACUUCCAGUACUUUUGCAUUUUGAGCAAGGUAAAAAGCUAUUGUGUGCUGUUAUCCUACACUGUUCCGUGCUUAGCAUCAUUAUUUAGCACUGUAUAAAAUGAAUGUAAAACAUUUUGUACAGAUAACAAUGAUAACAUUUUGCUCUUGCUUGUGUAGACAAUGACAUAAAUUUAAGCCAGCAGGAAAACAUGCACUGUCUAUUAAAAAGAAAGAAAUAUAUUAUAAAAUAUAUUGUUGAACAACUGUCUGAACACUUUGAAAAGAAAAAAAAAAAAAAAGCAGUCAUUUUUAUGAAGGUGAUCUUGGUGGGGAAGCCCACAAAGCUUCUCAAAAAGCUAUCAGUGCUAUGUGUUCAGGUGUGUGUGGGAAAAGUGGCUUUUCUGUGAUGUGGAGUGUAGGUUUCUGUAUGUGUGAAAGUGGCUUUUUUGUGGUAUGGAGUGUAGGUUUAAGAGUUUUAAAGAUUUUCAUUCAGUGCUAUAACCAAAGCAAUAAAUGGUAUUGGGUAGGGAAUAUUGGCCAGUUUUGUUCAACUCUACACCAGUCUAUGCUGAAUCCAUAUUCAGUGACCUUUGUGCCCAAUUUGGAGGCUUUAGAGAAGAGACACUGGGGUAAUACAAUGAAUGCUUGUGUGCUUAUGAAGAUCGCUAACAAAAGAGUAAUUACUCAGUUGGUGUUCAGAUGCCCUCACAUUGGCAUUCUUCUGUGCACCUUAGUGUUUCUAUAUUUGAAAGAGGGGUCUCUUUGGGGCUGCUAGUAAGAUCACUGGGAUAUAGGUGCCUGUGUGUACUGACUAUGUGUGUGUCGUUGUUUAAAUGUCAAAAAUACACUUUGCAGGAGAGCCAGCAAAACUUUGUUACAAUAUGGUGCUCCAUGAAAUGUGCUUUCUAGAUUUGUUUUUAUUGUAUUACAAUAAAUUGUAAAGGAAAAUAUA